rnacentral:rRNA from 1 species
UACAGAGGUCCCAAGCGUUGUUCGGAUUUACUGGGCGUAAAGGGUGCGUAGGUGGCGGGGUAAGUCUGGUGUGAAAGCUCCGAGCUCAACUCGGAAAAGCAUUGGAAACUAUCCCGCUUGAGGGUCGGAGGGGAGACUGGAAUUCUCGGUGUAGCAGUGAAAUGCGUAGAUAUUGGGAAGAACACCGGUGGCGAAGGCGGCUAUCUGGACCGACAUUGACGCUGAGGCGCGAAAGCGUGGGGAGCAAACAGG